rnacentral:tRNA from 1 species
AUCUUUAUAGUUUAUAAUUAAAAUAUUACACUGAAAAUGUAAAGAAAAUUUGUUAAAGAUA